rnacentral:lncRNA from 1 species
AAAUGGUUUGCUUUGCCAAUUGGAAAUCUGUAUGACUCAAAAACGGAUUUGAAUAGUGGUCACUGACUUGCUUCAAUGUGCCAGGUCUCAGCCUUCCUCCACACUGCAGCCUCUUGGCCUCGGAGGGCUUUGCCUCUGUUUUCUCUCCUCCAAGAAGCAUCUGUUUCUGUACCACCACCAAGGAUACUUCCUUUUUUAAGCCCUAUCCCCUGCUGCUUUUAAUUUCACAAUUACCAGCCAUCGACGAUAAGAUCCUUGGUGGCUCAGGAGCAAAAGACACAUGAGUUUUUCUCCCUAGAGUUCAUCUCAUGACGUCUUUUGUGGAUAACAUUCCCCGAGCAGCAUGGGAUCUAUUCUGGGUGCUUCCCAUGUGGCUAACGUGACCUUGUGAUUUUUAGCUUUAUAUCUCCAGAAACUUACAAAGCAUCUGGCACACAGAAGUCACUUGACAGAUGCUUCAUGAAUAAGUGAAUGUAGAAAAGAAUGAAUGAACAAAUAAAC